CCCGCCGCCGCUGCGGCAGCCGCCAGGACUGACCAAGACAUGCCGCUGAACCUGUCGCGCCGGUAGCGUCGCCCCGCCGGUCGCUCGCCGUCCACCCGGCUGGUGGUCGCCUCCUCCACGGCGCCCCGCUUGCCACCGAGCGUGCUAUCUGACGGCGCGCCAUCGGGCUGCGGGCCUGGUCGGAGCCGGCGCCACUGCAGAUGUCGCCCCUGGACGUGGCUGGGGCCUCGCGGGGCCUCCCGGUCGUGCCGAGCGGAGCGGAGGCCGGCCUCGGGAGCGGCCGGAAGCAAUACGGUCUUGGCUUUUGAUUGGUUGGUUGUUCUCUGUUCUUCCUCGCGCGGCCUGUCGGUCCAGCCGGCGCCGGCUAAGCUGCGCGGUCCGUAUCGGCGGGCCGAUGGAGGCUCGCCCGGCCCCGGAGCUGCCACCUGAACGCGGGACGCCGGGUGCCGGGCCCGCGCCCGGCCCCCGCGCGGGCCGCCGGCGGUCACGGGCGCCAUCCGUGACACGGGCCGGGCGAACGACGCCUCGCGCCGGGCAAGCCGGCAGCUCCGCUGGCGACCCCUCCGACUGGCUCGGCAAGAUCUCAGCUACUGUCUCUGUAUGUGAUAUGUUUGGACAAUCAAGGCCUCCGACCAGUACGCCCGCGGACAAGGCGAACCAGGGCCCGGCGGGCUCGACGCGGCCGUGGCCGGCAAACGGCCGCCCGGUUUUGAUAGAUGUAAUUUUAUGCUUUGUUGCUCAUGAAGUUGCGACGCUCUCGCUGUGUUGUUUAGUGUUCUGUUUUGUUGCGGUUGAGCGCCGGUUGUCUGUCGUGUUGCAAUUAUCCAUGUGACACAUUCGGUAAAUAUGUAUUGUUUUAUCAUCGCAGCAAUCGAGCUUGCUGUCAUUGUGUUCGACAAGUUCGUUGCGCACUGGAACACCUCGGACCAACAGAUGCCGCCCCAGUGCCGGUGCUCCUCGCACCCGCCGUCGCCAGUGCCUUCAACGGAUUCGUUGUCGCUCGACGUACUUCCGCACAGUACAGCUCGACGUUAUCAUAAGCACCCGUGCCAACGAAACAUUGUAACUAGAUGCAUCAAACAAAUAGACAAAUGACAUUUCGUAUUUAUUUUGCUACCAGAUAUUCACAGUGCAAAUCUCCACGGUCGUGUUUUGUACUUGGAUACAUGUAAAUAUUCACCUGAUCGCAAAUACAUCAGUACAACAUUC